rnacentral:tRNA from 1 species
GGAGCGGCAGUAUAAUAUUGUAUGCGUAGUUUCGGCCUACGUGGUGGACACCAGUUCUCGUUCUU